rnacentral:lncRNA from 1 species
CAAGAGUCGCAGUUGAUUUACGGUAGUUAUAAACAUUCCAAAGUACACAUGUAAGUUAAAUGAUACAAUAAUAUUAUAGCAUUGCAAUUCUGGCACAAAUGUGUCAUCGGUUUGAAAAUUCUCCGUUUGGUCCCCUUCUCUGGUUAGCAUGCGAUGAAGUGGCAGGGAAUCUAUUCUCAUUGAAGAAACAGAAGAAGCGGAAAAAAUCCAGGAGCUGGAAUUCUGUCGUUCCAGAGCAUGCAUCUCCCCAAAGGGAAAUACUGUGGCACAAAGUACAGAAGGAAAUAGAAACAGUCUCCAUCGUCUCUUCAAAGGCAGUUCAGCAAGAUUUUUCAAGAGGGGAGGUGAGAGAAAGCAAGAGCCAAAGACUUCCUGAAAUGUCUCCAGAGAGUGAUGGCACCUUAGGGGUAAAAAUGACUUGAAUUGCAAGUUCAACCCCCCGAUUCUCCCAGGAAGAAGACAAUGGCAAACCAUUUCCGUAUCUGCCAGGAAAACUGCACAGUGGUGUCCGUGAAUUCACUAGGAGUUGAUCCCAUCUUGAUGGCAUUAAACUGCAAUAACAAUUUCAGAAUUAUUUCCAUUUAGUUCAAAGCUGGCCCACUCUGAAACGUGGUUGUUGCAAGUAAACUUCAUAACACUGAGGCUGCAGACAAACAUUGUUAAUUUAAUCCAUAUCAGAUGAGUACAAGGACUGAGUUCAUCUUGUGAUCAUUCCCACAUUUGCAUUUUAACAUGGAGUCAGUUCGGACUUGCUCAUUCUCACACUGAUGUUUCCCAUGCUUGGCAUGGGGAAACCGUACAUUUUCAGUCUCCAUCUCUUGCCAAAUUCCCCUCCCUGUGCAGUCAGUGAUUGGUUGCAAUCCCAAUGUUCAAAUCUUGACGUCACAGGGGUGGGGAAGUCAAGCUCCUCCCUCCAUAUUUCCCUGCUGCCAUCUCAGAACAUGGGCAUUCCCUGUUUGCUUCUUCUCCCCCUCCAGCCUAUAUCCAUGCAAGCAGAACUUUGAUACUGCAUCUACCACACAAUAAGUUUUUCUAGUUAUUUUAUUGUGACCCGCCCUGAGACCUUCAGAUAUAGGGCAGGAUAGAAAUAUAAAUAAAUAAAUAAAUUGCACCUGGACA